GAGGAGUUGAUGAGAACUCUAAUCCAUUCUCUGAGUGAGAAGGAUGGCCGAAGCGGGCUCGCAUUAGGGGCAUAAGGUAGACGACAGAGUUCUUCUGGAAUCUACUGCCUCGCGCUGAAACC
rnacentral:snoRNA from 1 species